UUUCACUGAUAGGGGAGAGAACUUGAGAUCUGUAAAAGAACAUUGCUUAUAAAAUCUUAUACACUCUGUCUCUGUUUCAGCUGAAACAGAGACAGAGUGUAUAAGAUUUUAUAAGCAAUGUUCUUUUACAGAUCUCAAGUUCUCUCCCCUAUCAGUGAAAU
rnacentral:pre_miRNA from 1 species